CAAUCGAACCUGGAGAUAGCUGGUUCUCUCCGAAAUAGCUUUAGGGCUAGCCUCAAGUGAUGAUUAUUGGAGGUAGAGCACUGUUUGGACGAGGGGCCCCUCUCGGGUUACCGAAUUCAGACAAACUCCGAAUGCCAAUUAAUUUAACUUGGGAGUCAGAACAUGGGUGAUAAGGUCCGUGUUCGAAAGGGAAACAGCCCAGACCACCAGCUAAGGUCCCAAAAUAUAUGUUAAGUGGAAAAGGAUGUGGCGUUGCCCAGACAACUAGGAUGUUGGCUUAGAAGCAGCCAUCAUUUAAAGAGUGCGUAAUAGCUCACUAGUCGAGUGACACUGCGCCGAAAAUGUACCGGGGCUAAACAUAUUACCGAAGCUGUGGAUUGUCCUUUGGACAAUGGUAGGAGAGCGUUCUAAGGGCGUUGAAGCAUGAUCGUAAGGACAUGUGGAGCGCUUAGAAGUGAGAAUGCCGGUGUGAGUAGCGAAAGACGGGUGAGAAUCCCGUCCACCGAUUGACUAAGGUUUCCAGAGGAAGGCUCGUCCGCUCUGGGUUAGUCGGGUCCUAAGCUGAGGCCGACAGGCGUAGGCGAUGGAUAACAGGUUGAUAUUCCUGUACCACCUAUAAUCGUUUUAAUCGAUGGGGGGACGCAGUAGGAUAGGCGAAGCGUGCGAUUGGAUUGCACGUCUAAGCAGUAAGGCUGAGUAUUAGGCAAAUCC
rnacentral:rRNA from 1 species